AAGUCGUAACAAGGUUUCCGUAGGUGAACCUGCGGAAGGAUCAUUACACGAUCUCCGGCAGGCGGCCCCGAGAGGGGUUGCCUGACGGUAUCAAAACACCCCCCUGUGUACCUCUCCAUGUUGCUUCCCCAGGUCGGCAGCCUUUGCCUGCCCGGCGUACCUGUCCCAAGUGGGACCGGUCGCCGGAGGUGCCUGGGGGAGGACCAACCCCAAUCUCGGUUUAUCCAGCAGAAGAGAAGUCUGACUUGGCCACGCGCCAUCAGUAUUAACGUACUUAAAACUUUCAACAACGGAUCUCUUGGUUCUCGCAUCGAUGAAGAACGCAGCGAAAUGCGAUAAGUAAUGUGAAUUGCAGAAUUCAGUGAAUCAUCGAAUCUUUGAACGCACAUUGCGCCCUUUGGCAUUCCUUAGGGCAUGCCUGUUCGAGCGUCACUAAAAACCCCAUCACUUCCAGUGUGGUGUUGGCGGCAGUGGUGCCAGCACGGAGGAUCUUCUCCCCGUCGGCCCACUCCACCGAAAUGAAUCAGGCGGACAAACUGAUCUCAGCAACUGACUUAGUAAAAUCAAUCAGUCGGGAGUGAGGUUAUGUCCCGCCAAGAUUUGGACCCCCCAUCCAAUGAUACACAAAUCCUGGGUUGACCUCGGAUCAGGUAGGGAUACCCGCUGAACUUAAGCAUAUCAAUAAGCGGAGGAAAAGAAACCAACAGGGAUUGCCUCAGUAACGGCGAGUGAAGCGNCAAGAGCUCAAAUUUGAANUCUGGCGUCCCCGACGUCCGAGUUGUAAUUUGGAGAGGCAUCUUCUGGAGGGGCCCAGCCUAUGCUCCUUGGAACAGGACGUCAUAGAGGGUGAGAACCCCGUUCUCGGCUGGAUGUCCCCACCUGCAUGUAGUGUCUUCUACGAGUCGAGUUGUUUGGGAAUGCAGCUCAAAAUGGGUGGUAAAUUUCAUCUAAAGCUAAAUAUUGGCGAGAGACCGAUAGCGCACAAGUAGAGUGAUCGAAAGAUGAAAAGCACUUUGAAAAUAGAGUCAAACAGUACGUGAAAUUGUUGAAAGGGAAGCGCUUGAGACCAGACUCGGCCUUGGACAAACAGCCUCCCUUCUGGUUGGUGCACUUGCCCUCGGCCGGGCCAGCAUCAGUUGGGACGGCGGGAUAAAGGCCACGGGAAUGUGGCUCCUCUCGGGGAGUGUUAUAGCCCUGGGUGCCAUGCCGCCUGUCCCGACUGAGGACCGCGCUUCGGCAAGGAUGCUGGCGUAAUGGUCUUCAGCGACC
rnacentral:rRNA from 1 species